AGGACGAACGCUGGCGGCGUGCUUAACACAUGCAAGUCGAGCGGUAAGGCCCUUUCGGGGGUACACGAGCGGCGAACGGGUGAGUAACACGUGGGUGACCUGCCCUUAGCUCUGGGAUAAGCCUGGGAAACUGGGUCUAAUACCGGAUAUGACCUCGCGAUGCAUGUCGUGGGGUGGAAAGCCUUGUGCGGCUAGGGAUGGGCCCGCGGCCUAUCAGCUUGUUGGUGGGGUGAUGACCUACCAAGGCGACGACGGGUAGCCGGCCUGAGAGGGCGACCGGCCACACUGGGACUGAGACACGGCCCAGACUCCUACGGGAGGCAGCAGUGGGGAAUCUUGCGCAAUGGGCGAAAGCCUGACGCAGCGACGCCGCGUGAGGGAUGACGGCCUUCGGGUUGUAAACCUCUUUCAGCCCUGACGAAGCGAAGUGACGGUAGGGCAGAAGAAGUACCGGCAACUACGCGCCAGCAGCCGC
rnacentral:rRNA from 1 species